rnacentral:lncRNA from 1 species
UUCAUACGACUUUGAACAGGCCUUCCCCCCCCAUCUUUUUCUUUUCCACACAGCCAAACAGAGGGGCAGUUCGGCUUUGAACCAGAUUACAGAGUCGCCUGGAACUCUAACACAGAAAACUACUUCAGGGAAGGAGAGGAGGAAAAAAGGAAUCAAGAAAAAAAUUAAAGAUUUGACUGAAGCUGGUCCUUGGUUAGUGAAGUUGUAUCUGGCAGAUAACGGCAUAGACAGAAGAGGAAAAGAAGGAGGAAAUGGCUUGUUGGAAUUCACUCAAAUUUUAACAUGCCUGAUCACAUACUCUGCUCACUUAAGGGAAAUUGACCUCAGAAACAAUGUCCUGGGAGAGAUGGCUGCUGCUGACAUACUUGAAGCACUGAGAGCCAGAAAGACAGGUACAGAGUGUGGUUUGUGUUCCCUUCCACUUGUCCAUAUCUACUCACCCCUAAAUGCUAUAUUGCUCAUAGCCUGCUCUACUUUUUUCAUCAAAUAACUGGCCUGAGCUAUGUGAUGACCAGGAGCACUGUCAUAAGCCACCUACCCUUAUGUCCAUUUACUCCAUGAUUUGCACAGAGUUCAAGAACUUUUCUGAUGUCAUUGGUUGUCUUUGACCUAAGCACAGUAGUCUCCCCUUAUGCAUGGGGAACAUGUUCCAAGAUCCCCAGUGGAUGCCUGAAACUGCAGAUAGGACCAAACUGUACAUAUACUGUGGGUUUUUUUUUCCUAUACAAGCAUACUUAUGAGAGUUUAACUUAUAAAUGGGCACAGUAAGAGAUUAACAAUAAUAAAUAGUAA